UAAAACGUAGGACGCAAGCGUUAUCCGGAUUUAUUGGGCGUAAAGGGCGUGUAGGCGGCGUCUUAAGUUGGGCGUGAAAUCUUCCGGCUCAACCGGAAGGGUGCGUUCAAUACUGGGACGCUUGAGGACAGCAGAGGGAGGUGGAAUUCCCGGAGUAGCGGUGGAAUGCGUAGAUAUCGGGAGGAACACCAGUGGCGAAGGCGGCCUCCUGGGCUGUACCUGACGCUGAAGCGCGAAAGCGUGGGGAGCAAACGGGAUUAGAUACCCCGGUAGUCCACGCCGUAAACGAUGGAUACUAGGUGUCGGUGGUAUUGACCCCAUCGGUGCCGCAGCUAACGCAUUAAGUAUCCCGCCUGGGGACUACGGCCGCAAGGCUA
rnacentral:rRNA from 1 species